GACCCAUUGAAACUAAUUCAAGCCAUGCCCACGUUAAACUCAACUCACUCUAACCUAAACUAAUUUUCCCCCUUUAACAACCGUUGUGUAACAUCCGCAUACAUCUGUUAGCCACUACGAGUGAGUGCUUCUAAAAAGCAUUUCCAUCUUCAAUUUGGGCACUGAACUGUUAACAAAGGCAAACUUCAAUUGGAAAAUAACUUAUAACUUGGGCCUCGAAGCCCGGGAAGUGUUAUUGCAUCGUUGUGCUGCCACGAAAUGAGUUGGAAGUGAAAGCAGAAGACACAACCCACACUAUACCAUGCCUUCUGCUCCUUCCAAACUCUACGCAGAUGACGUGAGCCUCCUCGUUGUGACGCUAGACACCAACCCUUUCUUCUGGAGCACUUUUCCCUUCCCCUUCGCCGAGUUCCUCUCUCAAGUACUCGCUUUUCUCAACACGAUCUUGCUCCUAGGCCAGCUCAACCAGGUCAUCGUCAUCGCCACCGGAUGCAACUCUUGCGGCUACGUUUACGAUUCCACUUCCGACAAGAACCAUGGCUCCACCACUGGUACAAUGCCCGCGCUUUAUUCCAAUUUACUUCACAAUCUCGACGAGUUUCUCGCUAGGGACCGGCAAUUAGACGCCGACGCCUCUCACGCACCGGGAAUCGUUCCUUCUUCGCUGUUAUCGGGCUCCUUGUCCAUGGCGCUUUGUUAUAUACAGAGAGCUUUUCGUUCGGGACCAAUGCCUCCUCAGCCUCGGAUUUUAUGUUUGCAAGGGGCUGCUGAUGGACCAGAACAGUAUGUGGCAAUCAUGAAUGCAAUAUUCUCUGCACAGCACUCUACAGUUCCUAUAGAUUCUUGUUAUAUUGGUUCAAACAAUUCUGCAUUCCUCCAGCAGGCUUCAUACAUAACUGGUGGAAUAUAUUACAAGCCUCCCCAAUUGGACGGGCUUUAUCAAUAUCUUUCAACAGUGUUUGCAACUGAUUUGCAUUCUCGUGCAUUUUUACGGCUUCCUAAAUCUGUGGGUGUGGAUUUUCGUGCCUCGUGUUUCUGCCAUAAACAAACAAUUGACAUGGGCUAUGUGUGUUCUGUAUGCUUAUCCAUAUUCUGUGAGCACCAUGAUAAGUGUUCAACCUGUGGGGGUUAGCAUGUCAAGAAAAGCUAUGAGAUGAAGGCAAUCCCAGCUGAUUAAGAUGAAGUUUUCAGUCCUGUAUUUGGAUAAUCUCUUGAUAACACCUACACAGCCGCAACAUUUCCAUGAGCAAACAAUUGACAUGGGAUAUGUCUGUAUUUGGCCAGGCUCAACUAGAUGCCUCAGCAGCCGACCGGCAAAGAAAGGCUUGAGAUACAUUAUGUUGCAUCUGAGUGCAUAACAUAUUUUGUCACAUUUAUCAAGAGAGCUGAUCGAUUAACUUUCUUUUCAUACCUGUAGCAUGAUGAAAUUUUGAAAUCAAGUUUCUUUUCCAUCUGUCUUAGUGGGAAACUGAAGUUUGUCAUGGAAAUUAUUGUAGGCCUAUAAAAAGUCAGCAUCGAAAAAACAUUUUAUCUGAAAGUUUAAUUCCCUUUGAAAUCCAUGAUUUGCAUUAUGUUCA